AGUCGCGUGUUCUAAUGGUUAUGAUUUCUCGUUCACAUCUAUGUGUGCACAUCUUGUCCCGAGAAGGUUCCGUGUUCGAUCCACGGCGUGACUA
rnacentral:tRNA from 1 species